rnacentral:rRNA from 1 species
UACGUAGGGCGCAAGCGUUGUCCGGAAUUAUUGGGCGUAAAGGGCUCGUAGGCGGUUUGUCGCGUCGGGAGUGAAAACCUACAGCUUAACUGUGGGCUUGCUUUCGAUACGGGCAGACUUGAGGCAUGCAGGGGAGAACGGAAUUCCUGGUGUAGCGGUGAAAUGCGCAGAUAUCAGGAGGAACACCGGUGGCGAAGGCGGUUCUCUGGGCAUGUUCUGACGCUGAGGAGCGAAAGUGUGGGGAGCGAACAGG